UACGUAGGGUGCGAGCGUUGUCCGGAAUUAUUGGGCGUAAAGAGCUCGUAGGCGGUUUGUCGCGUCGACUGUGAAAACCUACAGCUUAACUGUGGGCUUGCAGUCGAUACGGGCAGACUUGAGUUCGGUAGGGGAGACUGGAAUUCCUGGUGUAGCGGUGAAAUGCGCAGAUAUCAGGAGGAACACCGGUGGCGAAGGCGGGUCUCUGGGCCGAUACUGACGCUGACGGAGCGAAAGCGU
rnacentral:rRNA from 1 species